rnacentral:lncRNA from 1 species
GAUAGUAGUCUAUCGAUGGAAAGAAAUUGGAGAAGAGUAAUACAAAAAAAAUGAGGAUCAAUUGAAAUAAAAAUCCACUUUGAUCACAACCAACCCAUUGGCUGGUGAUUAUACCUCAUCAUGUGACAUUGAAGCACUCAAAAGAACUGUGAAGGUUGGCCCAAAUCGAUAGUUGAUGGCGGCAAAAUACCAAAAUAGGGGAGAGG